AGAGAGAGACAUGCGCGCAUAUCAAUAAGCGGAGGAAAAGAAACUAACUAGGAUUCCCUCAGUAACGGCGAGUGAAGCGGGAAGAGCUCAAAUUUGAAAUCUUCAAGGUUCUACCUUGACGAAUUGUAGUUUAAAGAAGUGUUUUCUGUUGGAGUUUUGGUAAAAGUUCUUUGGAAUAGGACAUCAUAGAGGGUGAGAAUCCCGUAUUUGACCAUUAUUUCAGCUUUGUGAUACACUUUCAAAGAGUCGGAUUGUUUGGGAAUGCAGUCCAAAAUGGGUGGUAAAUUUCAUCUAAAGCUAAAUAUUGGCGAGAGACCGAUAGCGAACAAGUACCGUGAGGGAAAGAUGAAAAGAACUUUGAAAAGAGAGUUAAACAGUACGUGAAAUUGUCAAAAGGGAAGCGUUUGACACCAGUGUUGUUUUCUCGAAAAUCAAUUAAAAAAGGCAGGAUUUUGUGUUGUAUUGACUUUAUCAGCUUUCUGCACUCUUUUCUUGUCUUUUUUAAUGCACUUUUCGUUUAACAAGUCAACAUCAAUUUCUUUUGUUGUAAAAGGGUCACUGGAAGGUGGCUUUCUUUUCGGAGAAAGUGUUUAUAGCCUUUGGCCUCUGCAAUCGGAGAGAUUGAGGUCUGCAGCGUAGAUCCUUCGGGGUUAGAUACAUUUGUGCUAAGUUAUAGCCUUUCAUAGACAACUUGUUGACUAUGAUCAGUCAUGUAGCUUACUCGCUUAUGCUAUUUUACCUACGCUUAGGAUGUUGAUGUGAUACUGCGAGCA
rnacentral:rRNA from 1 species